rnacentral:rRNA from 1 species
UGAGUGAUGAAGGCCUUCGGGUUGUAAAACUCUGUUGUUAGGGAAGAACAAGUACCGUUCGAAUAGGGCGGUGCCUUGACGGUACCUAACCAGAAAGCCACGGCUAACUACGUGCCAGCAGCCGCGGUAAUACGUAGGUGGCAAGCGUUGUCCGGAAUUAUUGGGCGUAAAGCGCGCGCAGGCGGUCCUUUAAGUCUGAUGUGAAAGCCCACGGCUCAACCGUGGAGGGUCAUUGGAAACUGGGGGACUUGAGUACAGAAGAGGAAAGUGGAAUUCCACGUGUAGCGGUGAAAUGCGUAGAGAUGUGGAGGAACACCAGUGGCGAAGGCGACUUUCUGGUCUGUAACUGACGCUGAGGCGCGAAAGCGUGGGGAGCAAACAGGAUUAGAUACCCUGGUAGUCCACGCCGUAAACGAUGAGUGCUAAGUGUUAGAGGGUUUCCGCCCUUUAGUGCUGCAGCUAACGCAUUAAGCACUCCGCCUGGGGAGUACGGUCGCAAGACUGAAACUCAGGG